UCUGGUAGAAAGAAGGGCACCGGGGAGCAGCAUGGAGGUGAAGGUGAGCAAAGUCAGGGAUCCUCAUCAUCCCAGAAGCAGCAGAGCGUGAGUGAAACACAACGAGAGAGGGAGAAACACGAUCUGCCACCGAUGUAUCUGGACAUAGACGACUUGAUCAUAACUCGGACUUCAGAUGGCGAGGAUUCGGACGAGCUGUGCUCCAUCAAGUCGGACAGCCCCAGGGACGCUACGCCGCCCAGGAAGAUACCUCCUGCAGGCCGACGUUCGUAGUUCGAUCAUUUUCUAGUGUGAUCGAUCCGUGCCACGCAUGCACCUGUGUCCCAUAUAGGAGUAGUAGCGUAGUACUAUGUAGCUGUACUAAUUGUGUGUGUUCGUGUCAUGUUCAAUUUAGUGAGGUUGGAGAGAGCUAGCUAAGGUUCGUUUCUGUGUGUGUGUCGCAAUUUAAAUUUAGUUUGCUGUGUGUCUAGGUUUUGUGUGUGUCGUAAUUUAAAUUUAGUUGCAUGUACGCGUGUAUGUCGCUUAGCUGAUCGGUCGGCUAUGAGAGACUGGCUAAUUGUAUUGUCGUAAUUUAAAUUGAGUCUAAUGAUCGUGCGUACGUCGUGUUUAA